rnacentral:rRNA from 1 species
UACGGAGGAUGCGAGCGUUAUCCGGAUUUAUUGGGUUUAAAGGGUGCGCAGGCGGCAGUACAAGUCAGCGGUCAAAUAACGUAGCUUAACUUCGUUACGCCGUUGAAACUGUUCUGCUGGAGUUUGUGCGACGAUGGUGGAAUGCGUGGUGUAGCGGUGAAAUGCAUAGAUAUCACGCAGAACUCCGAUGCGAAGGCAACUGUCGAGCACUUAACUGACGCUGGGGCACGAAAGCGUGGGUAUCGAACAG